rnacentral:rRNA from 1 species
UGGGGAAUUUUGGACAAUGGGCGAAAGCCUGAUCCAGCAAUGCCGCGUGUGUGAAGAAGGCCUUCGGGUUGUAAAGCACUUUUGUCCGGAAAGAAAUCCUUGGCUCUAAUACAGUCGGGGGAUGACGGUACCGGAAGAAUAAGCACCGGCUAACUACGUGCCAGCAGCCGCGGUAAUACGUAGGGUGCAAGCGUUAAUCGGAAUUACUGGGCGUAAAGCGUGCGCAGGCGGUUUGCUAAGACCGAUGUGAAAUCCCCGGGCUCAACCUGGGAACUGCAUUGGUGACUGGCAGGCUAGAGUAUGGCAGAGGGGGGUAGAAUUCCACGUGUAGCAGUGAAAUGCGUAGAGAUGUGGAGGAAUACCGAUGGCGAAGGCAGCCCCCUGGGCCAAAUACUGACGCUCAUGCACGAAAGCGUGGGGAGCAAACAGGAUUCAGAUACCCUGGUAGUCCACGCCCUAAACGAUGUCAACUAGUUGUUGGGGAUUCAUUUCCUUAGUAACGUAGCUAACGCGUGAAGUUGACCGCCUGGGGAGUACGGUCGCAAGAUUAAAACUCAAAUGAAUUGACGGGGU